GCUGCCGUAGCUCAGUGGUAGAGCACUCCCUUGGUAAGGGAGAGGUCCUCAGUUCAAUCCUGAGCGGCAGCACCA
rnacentral:tRNA from 2 species